rnacentral:rRNA from 1 species
CCCUUAGAUGUUCUGGGCCGCACGCGUGCUACACUGAGUGGAUCAGCGGGUCAGGUUGCGCGAAAGUGUUUCCUAAUCUUGAAAUCCGCUCGUGAUGGGGAUUGACGGUUGCAAUUUUCCGUCAUGAACGAGGAAUACCUUGUAAGCGCGGGUCAUCAUCCCGCGCUGAAUACGUCCCUGCCCUUUGUACACACCGCCCGUCGCUCCUACCGAUUGAGUGGUUUAGUGAGGACUCCUGAUUGGCGCCGCCGCCCCGGCAACGGAGCAGCGGACUGCCGAAAAGUUGUUCAAACUUGAUCAUUUAGAGGAAGUAAAAGUCGUAACA